AUAGGAGAUCUCGUCAAGGAAUAUCGCAAAUCAGGUGAGCCUUGAUGUGGGGACUUGGGCCGGAGGGGAUUCAGAGUGGCCACGGUGAUCGCUUUUGGACCUUUAAAUAAGCGUUGGUUUUCAUUUAAUUUCCUUUAAUUAUUAUUUAUUUUUGGGUUGUAAUAAGGCCAUUUUUAACUUUUCUUUUAUUUCUUCUCGAGAUUAUUUUAUUCUUAAUAACUUUAAAAUUGGUUGAUAAUUA